AUCAUCAUGGCAAACAUGUGGCCAUCGCGCGGCUGCCCCGCUUGUCUCGUCUAGGAUCUGCGCCGAAUUGGAGCAUCGUCUGUGCUUGCAUUGUUGAAUGAACAAUGCAAGCGUAUUGCACUUGCCCGUUGGUGAUAGUGUGAGGCAGCAAGUCAUCUGGCUGCUUGUAGUGGCCACCACUGCAGUGUGUGCAGUGGCAUCGUGAAAUGUGAGGCAGCGAGUCAUCUGCCCCAGUUUGGUUGCUGCAUGUGGUGGUGCGUGUAGUGAUGUUGUGAGUCGCCAUCUCUGAGAGUGAGCAAGCGUGCUGCACUUGCCCGUUGGUGGAUUUGUGAGGCAGCAAGUCAUCUGCCCCAGGUUAGUUGCUGCGUGGAGUGGUGCGUGCGGUGAGCAUCGUCGCCGUCUGUGUGAGUGAGCUGGGCACUGUACCACAAGUGCUUCGUGGGACAGUGUAGAUGCAUCAGUUAUGUUUGUGAGUGAAUCGCGGAAACAAUUGCCGAUGGCCUUUUGUUGU